GUCCCUUCGGGGACAUCCAAUAAAAUUAGAACAAUAUAAAAAAGAUUAGUAUGACCCCUACAAAAGAAUGACACGCACAAAUCGAAAAAUGAUCCAAGUAGAA
rnacentral:snRNA from 1 species